rnacentral:rRNA from 1 species
AGAGUUUGAUCAUGGCUCAGGACGAACGCUGGCGGCGCGCUUAACACAUGCAAGUCGAGCGAGAACCAGGGCUUCGGCUUUGGGGACAGCGGCGAACGGGUGAGUAACACGUGAGCAACCUACCCUCGGCACCGGAAUAGCCCGGGGAAACUCGGAUUAAUGCCGGAUAGCCCCAUCGCCUCGCGAGGUGAUGGGAAAAGGUAGCUUCGGCCUCUGGCCGAGGAUGGGCUCGCGGCGGAUUAGCUUGUUGGCGGGGUAACGGCCCACCAAGGCGACGAUCCGUAGCUGGUCUGAGAGGACGAUCAGCCACACUGGGACUGAGACACGGCCCAGACUCCUACGGGAGGCAGCAGUGGGGAAUCUUGCGCAAUGGGCGAAAGCCUGACGCAGCGACGCCGCGUGCGGGAAGAAGGCCUUCGGGUUGUAAACCGCUUUCAGGUGGGACGAAGCCACUCGGGUGAAUAGCCCAGAGGGUGACGGUACCGCCAGAAGAAGCC